rnacentral:rRNA from 1 species
ACACCAUGACCUGUCUUUUUAAGGUUUUACUUAGAACUUACUUAAAGUAAGUUCUGGCGACGGCGGUAUAUAAACUUUCUCUUAGUUAGUAGUAUUGUCUUGGUGGCUAUCAUUUAAUGGGUAAAUUCCCCUAAAAUUUAAAAUUGCCGCCAUGUUCUUUAAGUUUUAACCCUUCGAUUUUAAUGCUUAAGAGAUUUAUUUAGAUUUAAAAUAGUAGGGUAUCUAAUCCUAGUUUUAAAGUUAAAUUUUGAACUUUUAAAAUUAAUGUUAAACUUUAAAACUUCUACAUAUUUCACUAUGGUAGGAGCUUUUCCUUAAUUUAAUCCCCUUAAUGUUUAUUAAUUCUAAUUUAGUAUGACCGCGGCUGCUGGCACUAAAUAUGCCUUAGGUUGUUAAUAUCUAAAUUAAUAUUUCUAUUAUUGUUUAAGGUUGUUGGCUGGGAUGUCUGCUAUUAAAUUCCAUUACAAAUAAAUAACUAUUUAAGUUCUAUUAGAACAAAGUA